ACCCAUUUUCUUCCGUAAGGGUGUUGGCUGGAAAAUAAAUCAGCAAAGAAAGUUGAAAAUGGUGUUUCCUGCAGAUUCCCGCAAUUGCUUGAUAAACAGUGAAAGUGAGUUUCAUUCGAAACAAUGUGCACUUUUCCUUUCCCUGAAUCCAGACAGGCCUUGAGUGAAAAAAUUCAGUAAAUUUGAAAUUCAAUCAACGUUAUUGUUUAUCUGACUCUCAAUCCAAUCCAACAAGACUAAGUAAAGCUGGCACAAGCUCAAGCAUCAUGUCCAGGCGCGAAAUGCCUUCAUCACACCUCCUAUUUGAAGAAAGGAUUCAACGAACAACGAAAGUUCAAGCU